AUUUAUGGUGGGCGGGGCGGAGCAACCGCAAGGUUGGCCGGAUUAGUGUUUGCCUCGGUAAUCGCCGUAGCUGUAAUGGCCGGUAGUUCCAACUCCGUUCAGCUCACCACCAAU
rnacentral:antisense_RNA from 1 species